rnacentral:lncRNA from 1 species
CACAUUUGGAAUUUUUAAUUUUCUUUAAUUUUUUUCCAAGGAGAAAAUGGAAGUUUAGUGUUAUAAACUAUUGGAAAAAGAAAGUUAUUCAGUAAACUUUAUUUCUUACUAUUAGAAAAAUGAAAGGUAUUCAAUACAUGGUAUUUCUCAGUUGUUUUUAUAUCCUCAGCAGAUAUAGUUGAUUGGUUUUUUUUUAAUGUUAAUUGAAAAUGAUUUAUUACUAGUGUAUGAGCUAAAACUGCAGUACUUAACUCUCAUUGCAGUAUACAUAUUUUCUAAAGGAAAAAAUCAGGACGAUUUACUGCAACCUACAGUUGCACCAGAUUUUUAACCCAUUUAAAAAAAAAUCUAAAAUUAUUAAACCUAGUAAGAAAGAAAAAAAAGUUCUUUUACAGUUUACACAUUUACAAAAAGAUACAGUUGAAUGAGAAAUCUAAAUGUCAAAAGAGCAGACUAUAAAAUGCCAUAUUCCUUAAGAAACAACAAAAGAAGACGAAUUAAAUUGUACUUCACAAUAUAAUGUAUACCAAUCAUUCAGUAAUCUAAGAGCCUCUCUGGAUUUUGCUGCGAUAGGAAUACUAAAAACCAAUUUGGAAAAGAUGUAUAAGUACUUAAUUCUGUCUGGAUCAAAGAGACUUACAAAGAAUAGCCAAUCUAACUAUGGUUAACUAAGUUUCUUAAUAAUUUAUAUAUUUAUUAAAAAGAAUACUAUUUUUUAUUAAAAAAUAAUACAAGAAAAGUAUUUUAUAAAUCUUGUUAGUACUGAUGCAUUGACUAUUAAGCUGAUGUUAAGAUGUCACUACAAUCUACAUUACAGACUACAAUGGCAAUCUGACAUGCAGGAUAACAGAUUAAAACGGUGCAUUUAUAGUGCUAAAAGUUUGAAACAAAGUCAAUAAAUUUAUUAAUUUAUUUCAUUUUAUUUCCUUUUCCAAGUAAUAUGUUUAUUUCAGCAUUAAGUUAUUUUUAACAUAUUGUGUAUUUUUCUGAACCUAUGCUUAUACAUGAUGAAAUGAAAUUAAAAGCAAA